UAAUAUAUCGGAACGUGCCCUAGAGUGGGGGAUAACGUAGCGAAAGUUACGCUAAUACCGCAUACGAUCUACGGAUGAAAGCGGGGGAUCGCAAGACCUCGCGCUCAUGGAGCGGCCGAUAUCUGAUUAGCUAGUUGGUAGGGUAAAAGCCUACCAAGGCAACGAUCAGUAGCUGGUCUGAGAGGACGACCAGCCACACUGGGACUGAGACACGGCCCAG
rnacentral:rRNA from 1 species